GACAGAGGCCCCGAGCGUUAGGCGGAAUCACUGGGCUUAAAGCGUGUGUAGGCGGGCCCGUAAGUGUCUUGUGAAAUCCCACGGCUCAACCGUGGAACUGCUGGGCAUACUGCGGGUCUUGGGCCAACUAGGGGCAGCCGGAACAAGCGGUGGAGCGGUGAAAUGCGUAGAUAUCUGGAGGAACACCAGUGGCGAAAGCGCGUGACUGGGCCACAACUGACGCUGAGGAACGAAAGCCAGGGGAGCGAAAGGG
rnacentral:rRNA from 1 species